ensembl:snRNA U6 U6 spliceosomal RNA
GUGCUCGCUUCAGCAGCACAUAUACUAAAAUUGGAACAGUACACAGAAGAUUAGCAUGGCCCCUGCGCAAGGAUGACACCCAAAUUCGUGAAGCAUUUCAUCUUUUU